rnacentral:rRNA from 1 species
UACGGGGGGGGGCAAGCGUUGUUCGGAAUUACUGGGCGUAAAGGGCUCGUAGGCGGCCAACUAAGUCAGACGUGAAAUCCCUCAGCUUAACUGAGGAACUGCGUCUGAUACUGGAUGGCUUGGAUUCGGGAGAGGGAUGCGGAAUUCCAGGUGUAGCGGUGAAAUGCGUAGAUAUUCGGAAGAACACCAGUGGCGAAGGCGACACACUGGCCCGUUACUGACGCUGAGGCGCGAAAGCGUGGGGAGCAAACAGGG